rnacentral:rRNA from 1 species
UGCAUCGAUUGAGAACGCAGCAAAAUGGGGAAACUGGCGUGAUGCAGAUCCCGCGACCAUCGAGUUUUUGAACGCAAGUUGCGCCCGAGGCCUUCCGGCCGAGGGCACGUCUGCCUGGGCGUCACGCCAAAAGACACUCCCAACCCACCCGAGGGGGAGGGACGUGGUGUUUGGUCCCCCGUGCCGCAGGGCGCGGUGGGCCGAAGUUGGGGCUGCCGGCGAAUCGUGUCGGGCACAGCACGUGGUGGGCGACACUCAGUUGUUCUCGGUGCAGCGCCCCGGCACGCGGCCGGCGCAUCGGCCCUAAGGACCCAAGGAGCACCGCAGCGCGUAGCCGCUCGGACCGCGACCCCAGGUCAGUCGGGACUACCCGCUGAGUUUAAGCAUAUCAAUAAGCGGAGGAAA